GAAAUGCGAUACGUAAUGUGAAUUGCAAAUUCAGUGAAUCAUCGAGUCUUUGAACGCACAUUGCACCCCCUGGUAUUCCGGGGGGUAUGCCUGUCCGAGCGUCAUUGCUGCCCUCAAGCACGGCUUGUGUGUGGGGUCGUCGUCCCCCCCGGGGGACGGGCCCGGAAGGCAGCGGCGGCACCGCGUCCGGUCCUCGAGCGUAUGGGGCUCUGUCACCCGCUCUUGUAGGCCCGGCCGGCGCUGGCCGACGCUGAAAAGCAACCAAUUACUUUCUCCAGGUUGACCUCGGAUCAGGUAGGGAUACCCGCUGAACUUAA
rnacentral:misc_RNA from 1 species